CGGAUUGGCUUAUUGCACCACAUGUGUUUUUCUUUGAAACAAACUUGCUUUGGCGGUGGGCCCAGCCUGCCGCCAGAGGUCUAAACUUACAACCAAUUUUUUAUCAACUUGUCACACCAGAUUAUUACUAAUAGUCAAAACUUUCAACAACGGAUCUCUUGGUUCUCGCAUCGAUGAAGAACGCAGCGAAAUGCGAUACGUAAUAUGAAUUGCAGAUAUUCGUGAAUCAUCGAAUCUUUGAACGCACAUUGCGCCCUCUGGUAUUCCGGAGGGCAUGCCUGUUUGAGCGUCGUUUCUCCCUCAAACCGCUGGGUUUGGUGUUGAGCAAUACGACUUGGGUUUGCUUGAAAGACGGUAGUGGUAAGGCGGGAUCGCUUUGACAAUGGCUUAGGUCUAACCAAAAACAUUGCUUGCGGCGGUAACGUCCACCACGUAUAUCUUCAAACUUUGACCUCAAAUCAGGUAGGACUACCCGCUGAACUUAAGCAUAUCAAUAAGCGGAGGAA
rnacentral:rRNA from 1 species